rnacentral:lncRNA from 1 species
GGCAGCACCAAACCCAAGCAACAACCCAAAGUAUGAUGUUGUCUCAUGCGAAGUAGUAAAAUUUGGCUUGCAUGUUAGACAAUGCAACUGCUUGCUUGCAUGAUCUGCAGGACUCAAAUGAGGGGGUUGCAACCCCACAUGGUAAACUUGCUUCAGCAGGCAUGUGUACAGAACGAGAAACGGGAGCUUCAGAUGGCAUCAUCCACCAAAAGCUCUGCCUACGAUGAAGAAAGGUGAUGAUGAUGCCGCUCUGCCUGAGAUAUGGAUAUAUGCCUGAGAUUGAAAGCCGUUGAGGAAGGAGGCGUAUGUUGGGUACUGGCUGAUAUCCCAAGGCAUAACAUUAUGUCCACCGGUGAGUUGUUCUCUGGGGGAAAUCAUGAUGAUAUUGGUUGAUUAAGGCACCUAUCCAGGUACCUACCCGGGUUCGAUUCCCGGGGUUAUUCUUUCUGCUAGGGAGGAGAUAGCUGUGACUUUAGGUAACCACACAGAUGCUUCCAUACCCUCAGCUUGACAGAUGGUUGGGGAUCCCCUAGUUUUGAGGGGGUGGAAAUUGUCAUUCAUGUGCAAGCAAACAAGGGCCACUGCAGUAUUUUGAUUUUGUGUCAAAUUACUUCUUGCUGCAUAUAUUAUGUAUGGAGUCUCCUAUACAGGGUUUGGUGUAUUUAACUUCUGAUGGGCAUGUUUGUCUGUCUACAGGGCCCACCCAGCAACCUGCAUCUGCUGAGGACAACACCACAUGCUUUCCCCACCACACAUCAGCAUGCAGAGUCAGUGGAAGGUGAAAGCAGUAGUAAGGUGUGUGGCAUAAAACUGCAUUCUAAGUUCCACAUCAGCAGUCAUUGCAGUUCUUGAUGGUCUGACAAAGGUGCUACUGUAUGCCCCUGCCUGGUCUUUGCUGCAUACAGGCUCACAAGCUGCUUAUGGAGGACUGCUGCUGCUGCAAUGUCUUGUAGUGUUAACUAACAGUGAUAGAGGACUACUACUAGGCAUGACUACCAGAAGGUGUUAGGGUGGAUGAGCUGCAGCUGGGUGCACCCAGUAUGAAACUGUUUGGAGCUGUUUCGAAGCUUCUGCUGCAGCGGCUGCUGCAUACAGGCUCACAAGCCGCUUGUGGAGAAGCUACUGCUAGCAGCAGCAUUGUUGCACUGUACAGCCACUGUACAUACUUGUCUUGGAGUGUUAACUGACGGUGAUGGAGGGCUACUUCUGGGCAUAACUACCAGAAAGACUUGAGGUGGAUAGAGUGGUUGUGAGGUGUAUUGUAGCAUGUGUUGAGGCAAAUUGUUGACAGAUCUAUGAGCUGCAGCUGCAGCAGCCGCGGUUGUGGAAAUGUCUGGUGCUGUUUGGAAGCUGUAGCAGCUGAAGCUGAAGCAGGCAAUGCAUAUGGCUUAAUGUUGUUACAUAGCAGGACUUGGGAAUUUCGUAUGCAUGUAGCUGCUGCUAGGCGACAUGUAUAUGUAAAAUUAUGAAUCCAUGCAUACAUGGUCUAUCCCUACCCCUAUGGCAGCCAAACUGCGUGUUACGGCCCCCCCCUAGCAACUGGACUAGUUACUCCUGAGACGGG